GUCGAGGGAGAAGCUAUCUUCGGAUGGUGGAGACCGGCAGACGGGUGAGUAACACGUGGGAACAUACCGAGUAGUGGGGGAUAACAGUUGGAAACGACUGCUAAUACCGCAUACGCCCUUCGGGGGAAAGAUUUAUCGCUAUUCGAUUGGCCCGCGUUAGAUUAGCUAGUUGGUAAGGUAAUGGCUUACCAAGGCGACGAUCAUUAACUGGUCUGAGAGGACGAUCAGUCACACUGGAACUGAGACACGGUCCAGACUCCUACGGGAGGCAGCAGUGAGGAAUUUUGGACAAUGGGGGAAACCCUGAUCCAGCGACGCCGCGUGUGGGAUGAAUGGGUUAUGCCCUGUAAACCACUGUCAGCAGAGAAGAAAAGGCUCCUUUGGAGCCCGGGACUGUAUCUGCAGAGGAAGGACCGGCUAACUUCGUGCCAGCAGCCGCGGUAAUACGAGGGGUGCAAGCGUUAAUCGGAAUUACUGGGCGUAAAGCGCACGCAGGCGGUUUGUUAAGCUAGAUGUGAAAGCCCCGGGCUCAACCUGGGAAUAGCAUUUAGAACUGGCAGACUAGAGUCUUGGAGAGGGGAGUGGAAUUUCUGGUGUAGCGGUGAAAUGCGUAGAUAUCA
rnacentral:rRNA from 1 species